ACCAACAACUCCUACAAAUAACACAAUAAAAAAUGACCUGAGACCAAAGGAAAAAGAAUAUUCAGGCCCCAAGCCAUUGUCCAGUACGAAUGUUGAUGGAUUACGAUCCAAAGCGGGCAGAAUGGAUGAAAAUAAUACAAAGAAAAUAUCAAAACAGGAAGAAAUAACCAAUGAAGACCGGGUAUGCAAUAACACGCUGUGUGAUAUGAAUGGUGGUACUUGUGGUAUAUUUACCUGUAAAACAGGCGAUAUUGUUGGAAUUACUGCAUUCCAUACAUACCACCAUGUACGUUAUUUGGUUAAACGAGGCGAAUCAUGUGGGUCUGGACAUUGUCCUGUCAAUGUAAAGUGUGUAAAUGACGUCUGUAGAG